GCCUGGGUGGGUCAGUCGGUUGAGCAUCCGACUUCAGCUCGGGACAUGAUCUCGCGGUCUGUGGGUUCAAGCCCCACGUCGGGCU
rnacentral:tRNA from 1 species